CUCGGGGAGAACCUGCGGAAGGAUCAUUACAGUAUUCUUUUUGCCAGCGCUUAAUUGCGCGGCGAAAAAACCUUACACACAGUGUUUUUUGUUAUUACAAGAACUCUUGCUUUGGUCUGGACUAGAAAUAGUUUGGGCCAGAGGUUUACUAAACUAAACUUCAAUAUUUAUAUUGAAUUGUUAUUUAUUUUAAUUGUCAAUUUGUUGAUUAAAUUCAAAAAAUCUUCAAAACUUUCAACAACGGAUCUCUUGGUUCUCGCAUCGAUGAAGAACGCAGCGAAAUGCGAUAAGUAAUAUGAAUUGCAGAUUUUCGUGAAUCAUCGAAUCUUUGAACGCACAUUGCGCCCUUUGGUAUUCCAAAGGGCAUGCCUGUUUGAGCGUCAUUUCUCUCUCAAACCUUCGGGUUUGGUAUUGAGUGAUACUCUUAGUCGAACUAGGCGUUUGCUUGAAAUGUAUUGGCAUGAGUGGUACUGGAUAGUGCUAUAUGACUUUCAAUGUAUUAGGUUUAUCCAACUCGUUGAAUAGUUUAAUGGUAUAUUUCUCGGUAUUCUAGGCUCGGCCUUACAAUAUAACAAACAAGUUUGACCUCAAAUCAGGUAGGACUACCCGCUGAACUUAGCAUAUCAUAAGGGAGAAGAA
rnacentral:rRNA from 1 species